UCAGCUCGUGUCGUGAGAUGUUGGUUAAGUCCCGCAACGAGCGCAACCCUUGUCUUUAGUUACCAUCAUUCAGUUGGGGACUCUAGAGAGACUGCCGGUGAUAAACCGGAGGAAGGUGGGGGAUGACGUCAAAUCAUCAUGCCCCUUAUGGCCUGGGCUACAAACGUAAUACAAUGGCGUAUACAAAGGGAUGCGAAAGGGCGACCUGGAGCAAAACUCACAAAGUACGUCUCAGUUCAGAUUGGAGUCUGCAACUCGACUCCAUGAAGGCGGAAUCGCUAGUAAUCGCGGAUCAGCAUGCCGCGGUGAAUACGUUCUCGGGGUUU
rnacentral:rRNA from 1 species